CAGCUGAACAUCUUCAUUGCAUUUUCAAGGUGGUGAUGAGUUGAUCCUUCUCUUCUGUAACAGCGUCAGAUACUGUCUGAGAUAAACCUGACCCCAGUCACUUCUGCACUUAUCAUCACCGAAAUGUCUUUUGCUGAGCAUUCUGAACUCCAAAAGCUGAUGAAGGGUAUCGUUGAUAUUUUUCGUAACUAUGCUGGCUGCAAAAACACUCUGACCAAUUCAGAAGCUAAAGAACUGCUCGAAAAGGAAUUGUUUGCCAAUGUUCAGGCACCAGAUCACUUGGAAAAGAUGAAAUCACACAUGAAAAUAUUGGACACAAAUCAGGAUGGAAUCAUCACUUUUGUGGAGUUUAUAAACCUGUUAACCGUCCUCAUGGUAUUGAAGAGCAGCAAAUUGCAGGGGUGUCCCAUCCCAACUAAACAGAAAUGUAAGUGAUCCAUUGUACUCUGCUUCGGUAGCUCAUCAAACAUGGUUCACCUGUUACUGUAUUGCUUUGUUUGACCUAAUUGGACAGUUCAAUAAAAAUUAUUCAAUGA